AAACUAGGGAUUAGAUACCCUAUUAUACUAUACUUAGAAUUAUAUAGCCUGGGUAGUGAUUAGUUAUGAUCUUUAAAUCUAAAGGAUUUGGCGGUAUUCAAGUCUAGUUAGAGGAACCUGCACUUUAAACGAUAACCCACGAAUUAUCUUACUUUGUUUUGUAUUUCAGUUUAUAUAUCGCCAUUAUAAAGUAAUACUUAAAAUUAUUUAUUGGAAUAAAAAAUUUUUAAGAUAUUAGGUCAAGGUGUAGCUAAUAGCAAAGUUAGAUGUGGGUUACAAUGUAUCAUAUAUAGACGGAUAAAGUUUUGAAAUAUACUUUGGAAGGUGGAUUUAAUAGUAAAUAUAUUUUAAUAUGGUAUAUUGAUAAAAGCUCUAGAAUAUGUACACAUCGCCCCCGCUCUA
rnacentral:rRNA from 1 species